AAUUUUCUUAAUGGAAUUUCUCCCUUUUUCUGUUGCAGGAUUUCCCUCCUGGUUCUGGUUUUUAUUUUAUGCCAGUGGUUGUAUCAAACAAGCGGAUCACUCUUCCGCGACCUCGUCCACCAGGAUAAAGCAGAACCCGGAUAUCAUGGAUCAAGGGAAUUGGUGUUAUGGAGGCGGUCGCUGGGGCCUCAAUUUUGCGUUGUGGUGGUUGCUGUGGCCGUCAAAGAUGGGCUGACCUCUCCGCUUUUGUUCGCCGAGGAGGCCAGUUGAUACCCUCGAGAAAUUUAAAUUAUUUUGGCGAAACACUGAAAGACAUAAAAGCACACAACACAAAAACACUCAUAUAUCUACACAAUUAUAAUUCAUACAAGGAUCACUUACAAUCAAUUACUAACGCCUUCACCAUAAAUAAUAAAAUAAAUAUCGAGGCUUUUAUUGCCUUAAAAAAAGUAA